UACGGGGGGAGCAAGCGUUGUUCGGAUUUACUGGGCGUAAAGGGCGCGUAGGCGGCGUGACAAGUCACUUGUGAAAUCUCCGGGCUUAACUCGGAACGGUCAAGUGAUACUGUCGUGCUAGAGUACAGAAGGGGCAACUGGAAUUCUCGGUGUAGCGGUGAAAUGCGUAGAUAUCGAGAGGAACACCCGUGGCGAAGGCGGCUCUCUGGGACGGUACUGACGCUGAGACGCGAAAGCGUGGGGAGCGAACGGG
rnacentral:rRNA from 1 species